rnacentral:rRNA from 1 species
CCUACGGAAGGCUGCAGUGGGGAAUAUUGGACAAUGGGGGGAACCCUGAUCCAGCCAUGCCGCGUGUGUGAAGAAGGCCCUCGGGUUGUAAAGCACUUUCAGUGAGGAAGAACGCCUGGUGGUUAAUACCCAUCAGGAAAGACAUCACUCACAGAAGAAGCACCGGCUAACUCCGUGCCAGCAGCCGCGGUAAUACGGAGGGUGCGAGCGUUAAUCGGAAUUACUGGGCGUAAAGCGCGCGUAGGUGGCUUGAUAAGCCGGUUGUGAAAGCCCCGGGCUCAACCUGGGAACGGCAUCCGGAACUGUCAAGCUAGAGUGCAGGAGAGGAAGGUAGAAUUCCCGGUGUAGCGGUGAAAUGCGUAGAGAUCAGGAGGAAUACCAGUGGCGAAGGCGGCUUUCUGGACUGAAACUGACACUGAGGUGCGAAAGCGUGGGUAGCAAACAGGAUUAGAUACCCUGGUAGUC